rnacentral:piRNA from 1 species
UNCUAGCACAGGUCAUCCACAGUUGCAGU